GAGAGCGUAGCUCAGUCGGUAGAGCAACUGACUUUUAAUCAGUAGGUCAAGGGUUCGAACCCCUUCGCUCUCACCA
rnacentral:tRNA from 2 species